UACGUAGGUGACAAGCGUUGUCCGGAUUUACUGGGCGUAAAGAGCGCGCAGGCGGUCGUUCAAGUCGAGUGUGAAAGCCCCCGGCUCAACUGGGGAGGGUCAUUCGAUACUGAUCGACUCGAAGGCAGGAGAGGGAAGUGGAAUUCCCGGUGUAGUGGUGAAAUGCGUAGAUAUCGGGAGGAACACCAGUGGCGAAGGCGGCAUCCUGGACCGGCAUUGACGCUGAGGCGCGAAAGCUAGGGGAGCAAACGGG
rnacentral:rRNA from 1 species